rnacentral:rRNA from 1 species
UACGUAGGGAGCAAGCGUUGUUCGGAUUUACUGGGCGUAAAGAGCGUGUAGGCGGCCAAGUAAGUCCGGUGUGAAAACUCGAGGCUUAACCUCGAGAUGUCAUCGGAAACUAUUUGGCUAGAGUCCGGAAGAGGAGAGUGGAAUUCCUGGUGUAGCGGUGAAAUGCGCAGAUAUCAGGAAGAACACCUAUGGCGAAAGCAGCUCUCUGGGACGGUACUGACGCUGAGACGCGAAAGCGUGGGGAGCGAACAGG